rnacentral:rRNA from 1 species
GCCCCACCCACCUAGAGGAGCCUGUUCUAUAAUCGAUAACCCCCGCUUAACCUCACCACUUCUUGCCAAUACCGCCUAUAUACCACCGUCGCCAGCCCACCCCGUGAGGGAAAUAGUAGGCACAAUGAUAAGUCACCAAAACGUCAGGUCAAGGUGUAGCGUAUGAAGUGGGAAGAAAUGGGCUACAUUCUCUAACCUAGAGCACACGAAAAAUCAUAUGAAAUUAGAUUAGAAGGAGGAUUUAGUAGUAAAAAGAAACAAUAGUGUUCUUUUUAAGUUGGCCCUGGGGCGCGCACACACCGCCCGUCACCCUCUUCAACUAAUAAAACACGAUUUAUAAAACAUAAAACAAACACAAGAAGAGGUAAGUCGUAACAUGGUAAGUAUACCGGAAGGUGUGCUUGGAAUUA